rnacentral:rRNA from 1 species
UUGGGUUUAAAAGCGGGUGUAGGCGGCUUGGCAAGUCGGGUGUGAAAUCCCUGGGGCCCAACCCAGGAACUGCACUCGAAACUGCCUCGCUAGAGUCCCGGAGAGGGUGGCGGAAUUCCCGGUGUAGAGGUGAAAUUCGUAGAUAUCGGGAGGAACACCAGUGGCGAAGGCGGCCACCUGGACGGUGACUGACGCUCAGACCCGAAAGCGUGGGGAGCAAACAGGAUUAGAUACCCUAGUA